rnacentral:rRNA from 1 species
GACGAAGGAUCCAAGCGUUAUCCGGAUUCAUUGGGUUUAAAGGGAGCGUAGGCGGACUUAUAAGUCAGUGGUGAAAGCCGAUAGCUUAACUAUCGAAUUGCCAUUGAUACUGCAGGGCUUGAGUACAGAUGAGGUAGGCGGAAUUGACGGUGUAGCGGUGAAAUGCAUAGAUAUCGUCAAGAACACCGAUAGCGAAGGCAGCUUACCAAGCUGUAACUGACGCUGAGGCACGAAAGUGUGGGGAUCAAACAGG